rnacentral:rRNA from 1 species
GACGAACCGUGCGAACGUUGUUCGGAUUCACUGGGCUUAAAGGGCGCGUAGGCGGUCGACCAAGUCUGGGGUGAAAUCUUUCGGCUCAACCAGAAAAGUGCCCCCGAUACUGGCCGGCUAGAGGGAGAUAGGGGCAUGCGGAACUUCCGGUGGAGCGGUGAAAUGCGUAGAUAUCGGAAGGAACGCCGGUGGCGAAAGCGGCGUGCUGGAUCUCUUCUGACGCUGAGGCGCGAAAGCCAGGGGAGCAAACGGG